CCUACGGGAGGCAGCAGUGAGGAAUAUUGGUCAAUGGACGAGAGUCUGAACCAGCCAAGUAGCGUGAAGGAUGACUGCCCUAUGGGUUGUAAACUUCUUUUAUAUGGGAAUAAAACGUUCCACGAGUGGGAUUUUGUAUGUACCAUAUGAAUAAGGAUCGGCUAACUCCGUGCCAGCCGCCGCGGUAAUACGGAGGAUCCGAGCGUUAUCCGGAUUUAUUGGGUUUAAAGGGAGCGUAGGUGGAUUGUUAAGUCAGUUGUGAAAGUUUGUGGCUCAACCGUAAAAUUGCAGUUGAAACUGGCAGUCUAGAGUACAGUAGAGGUGGGCGGAAUUCGUGGUGUAGCGGUGAAAUGCUUAGAUAGCACGAAGAACUCCGAUUGCGAAGGCAGUUCACUGGACUGCAACUGACACUGAGGCUCGAAAGUGUGGGUAUCAAACAGGAUUAGAUACCCGGGUAGUC
rnacentral:rRNA from 1 species